GGGAAAAAGUAGAGCGAUAGGACAGUGCGGCCCAGCGCCGCGCGAAAGGCAGGAACAGACCCGCGGAGAGGGACGGGUGCAAGGAGGUCCACGGCGAGCGUGGGAACACAGGGUUCAGCCUCCUGCGGCGGGAGAGCACGCGGACCAGGGGCGGGCGGGUGCGACAGGACGUGACCGGGAAGCGCGGCGCGUGCCACUGCCCUGGAGCAGGCAUCUGGUCUCCGUGGAGCGGGCAGGCGGGCCCCGGGUCUGGAGCCUGCGACUGGGGAGGGCGCCGCGUCAACGGCCGCGGUUGCGGGGCGGGGCCGAGUGCGCGUGCGCGGCUCUCGCGGGCGGGGAGCAGGCGGGGGAGCGGGCGGGAAGCGGUGGGAGCGCGCGUGCGCGCGGCCGGGCAGCCUGGGCAGUGGGUCCUGCCUGUGACGGGCGGCGGCGGUCGGUCCUGCCUGUAACGGCGGCGGCGGCUGCUGCUCCAGACACCUGCGGCGGCGGCGGCGACCCCGCGGCGGGCGCGGAGAUGUGGCCCCUGGUAGCGGCGCUGUUGCUGGGCUCGGCGUGCUGCGGAUCAGCUCAGCUACUAUUUAAUAAAACAAAAUCUGUAGAAUUCACGUUCUGUAAUGACACUGUUGUCAUUCCAUGCUUUGUUACUAAUAUGGAGGCACAAAACACUACCGAAGUAUAUGUAAAGUGGAAAUUUAAAGGAAGAGAUAUUUACACGUUUGAUGGAGCUCUAAACAAGUCCACUGUCUCCACUAACUUUAGUAGUGCAAAAAUUGAAGUCUCACAAUUACUAAAAGGAGAUGCCUCUUUGAAGAUGGAUAAGAGUGAUGCUGUCUCACACACAGGAAACUACACUUGUGAAGUAACAGAAUUAACCAGAGAAGGUGAAACGAUCAUUGAGCUAAAAUAUCGUGUUGUUUCAUGGUUUUCUCCAAAUGAAAAUAUUCUCAUUGUUAUUUUCCCAAUUUUUGCUAUACUCCUGUUUUGGGGACAGUUUGGUAUUAAAACACUUAAAUAUAGAUCCGGUGGUAUGGAUGAGAAAACGAUUGCUUUACUUGUUGCUGGACUAAUGAUCACUGUCAUUGUCAUUGUUGGAGCCAUUCUUUUCGUCCCAGGUGAAUAUUCAUUAAAGAAUGCUACUGGCCUUGGUUUAAUUGUGACUUCUACAGGGAUAUUAAUAUUACUUCACUACUAUGUGUUUAGUACAGCGAUUGGAUUAACCUCCUUCGUCAUUGCCAUAUUGGUUAUUCAGGUGAUAGCCUAUAUCCUCGCUGUGGUUGGACUGAGUCUCUGUAUUGCGGCGUGUAUACCAAUGCAUGGCCCUCUUCUGAUUUCAGGUUUGAGUAUCUUAGCUCUAGCACAAUUACUUGGACUAGUUUAUAUGAAAUUUGUGGAGUUCAGAGGAACACCUACGGUCAGUUGAAAGACAAGAAGAGACAAGCUUCCAAUCAGAAGACUAUACAACCUCCUAGGAAAGCUGUAGAGGAACCCCUUAAUGCAUUCAAAGAAUCAAAAGGAAUGAUGAAUGACGAAUAACUGAAGUGAAGUGAUGGACUCCGAUUUGGAGAGUAGUAAGACGUGAAAGGAAUACACUUGUGUUUAAGCACCAUGGCCUUGAUGAUUCACUGUUGGGGAGAAGAAACAAGAAAAGUAACUGGUUGUCACCUAUGAGACCCUUAUGUGAUUGUUAGUUAAGUUUUUAUUCAAAGCAGCUGUAAUUUAGUUAAUAAAAUAAUUAUGAUCUUUGUUGUUUGCCCAAUUGAGAUCCAGUUUUUUGUUGUUAUUUUUCAUCAAUUAGGGGCAAAAGUAAAAUGGACAAUUUCCAAGAAUGAUGCCUUUCAGAUCCUAGGGCCUCUGGUCUCUAGGUAACCAGUUUAAAUUGGUUCAGGGUGAUAACUACUUAGCACUGCCCUGGUGAUUACCCAGAGAUCACUAUGAAAACCAGUGGCUUCCAUCAAACCUUUGCCAACUCAGGUUCACAGCAGCUUUGGGCAGUUAUGGCAGUAUGGCAUUAGCUGAGAUGUGUCCGCCACUUCUGGGUCAAGGGAAUAAUAAAUUAAGUACAGGCAGGAAUUUGGUUGGGAGCAUCUUGUAUGCCAUCUCUGUAUGACGUGAUAUUGAUGGAGAUAGUGGUCCUCAUUCUUGGGGGUUGCCAUUCCCACAUUUCCCCUUCCACAAACAGUGUAACAGGUCCUUCCCAGAUUUAGGGUACUUUUAUUGAUGGAUAUGUUUUCCUUUUAUUCACAUAACCCCUUGAAACUCUGUCUUGUCCUGCUGUUACUUGCUUCUGCUGUACAAGAUGUAGCACCUUUUCUCCUCUUUGAACAUGGUCUAGUGACACGGUAGCACCAGUUGCAGGAAGGAGCCAGACGUGUUCUCAGAGCACUUUGUUCACACUUUUCAGCAAAAAUAGCUAUGGUUGUAACAUAUGUAUUCCCUUCCUCUGAUUUGAAGGCAAAAAUCUACAGUGUUUCUUCACUUCUUUUCUGAUCUGGGGCAUGAAAAAGCAAGAUUGAAAUUUGAACUAUGAGUCUCCUGCAUGGCAACAAAAUGUGUGUCACCAUCAGGCCAAUGGGCCAGCCCUUGAAUGGGGGUUUAUUACUGUUGUAUCUAUGUUGCAUGAUAAACAUUCAUCACCUUCCUCCUGUAGUCUUGCCUCGUACUCCCCUUCCCUUAUGAUUGAAAAAUAAACAAAACCCACAUUUCCUAUCCUGGUUAGAAGAAAAUUAACGUUCUGACAGUUGUGAUCGCCUGGAGUACUUUUAGACUUUUAGCACUCGUUUUUUUACCUGUUUGUGGGUGUGUGUUUGUAUGUGCAUAUGUAUGAGAAAGGCACAUGCAUCUUCUGUAUGGACAAAGAUGGGGUACCUACAGGAGAGCAAAGGUUAAUUUUGUGCUUUUAGUAAAAACAUUUAAAUACAAAGUUCUUUAUUGGGUGGAAUUAUAUUUGAUGCAAAUAUUUGAUCACUUAAAACUUUUAAAACUUCUAGGUAAUUCGCCACGCUUUUUGACUGCUUACCAAUACCCUGUAAAAAUACGUAAUUCUUCCUGUUUGUGUAAUGAGAUAUUCAUAUUUGUAGUUGCAUUAAUAAUAGUUAUUUCUUAGUCCAUCAGAUGUUCCCGUGUGCCUCUUUUAUGCCAAAUUAAUUGUCAUAUUUCAUGUUGGGACCAAGUAGUUUGCCGAUGGCAAACCUAAAUUCAUGACCUGCUGAAGCCUCUCAGAAAACUGAACAUACUAGCAAGACAGCUCUUCUUGAAAAAAAAAAUAUGUAUACGCAAAUAUAUACGUAUAUCUAUAUAUACGUAUAUCUAUACACACAUGUAUAUUAUUCCCUGAUUGUGUAGCUGUCCAAAAUAAUAACAUAUAUAGAGGGAGCUGUAUUCCUGUAUACAAAUCCAAUGGCUCCUGCAGCACUUUUUCCUUCCGAAAAUAUUUACACUUUGCUAACAUAAUUUGUUACUUUAAAAAUCAGUUUUGAUGAAACGAGGGAAAAGCAGAUGGACUUGAAAAACAUCCAAACUCCUAUUAGGAAAGGUAUGAAAAUCUUUAUAGUAAAAUUUUUUAUAAACUAAAGUUGUACCUUUUAAUAUGUGGUAAACUCUCAUUUAUUUGGGGUUCACUCUUGGAUCUCAUCCAUCCAUUGUGUUCUCUUUAAUGCUGCCUGCCUUUUGAGGCAUUCACUGCCCUAGACAAUGCCACCAGAGGUAGUGGGGGAAAUGCCAGAUGAAACCAACUCUUGCUCUAACUAGUUGUCAGCUUCUCUGAAUAAGGGACCACAGCAGCAGGAGUCCUCCUGCUUGGGCAUCAUUGGGCCAGUUCCUUCUCUUUAAAUCAGAUUUGUAAUGGCUCCCAAAUUCCAUCGCAUUACAUUUAAAUUGCAGACAAUGUUUUGCACAUUAUGUAUCUGUUUUGUCCCAUAAUAUGCUUUUUACUCCCUGAUCCCAGUUUCUGCUGUCGACUCUUCCAUUCAGUUUUAUUUAUUGUCUGUUCUCACAGUGACACCAUUUGUCCUUUUCUGCAACAACCUUUCCAGCUGCUUUUGCCAAAUUCUAUUUGUCUUCUCCUUCAAAACAUUCUCCUCCAGCCCUGCAGCCCCUUCCCCCAGCUAUCCUUUGCAGUCUUUCUCCAUCUGUGUAGCUGCUCUUUUAUCUCUUAACUUACCGUUCCUACAGUACUUUAUGCAUCUUUGCUUAGUUCUAUUAGUUUUUUGGUCUUGCUCCUCUCCCUUGAUUUUAAAAUUCCUUCUAUAGCUAGAGCUUUUCUUCCAUUCUCUCUUCCUGCAGUGUUUUGCAUACAUCAGAAGCUAGAUACAUAAGUUAAAUGAUUGAGAGUUGGCUGUAUUUAGAUUUAUCACUUUUUAAUAGGAUGAGCUUGAGAGUUUUCUUGUCUUUUUUUUUUUUUUUUUUUUUUUUUUUUUGACAAAUGUCACAUGCUCUAAAAACCUUCAAAGGUGAUUAUUUUUCUCCUGGAAACUCCAGGUCCAUUCUGUUUAAAUCCCUAAGAAUAUCAGAAUUAAAAUAACGGGCUAUCCUGUAAUUGGAAAUAUUUCUUUUUUCCGGAUGCUAUAGUCAAUUUAGUAAGUAACCACCAAAUUGUUAUUUGCACUAACAAAGCUCAAAACACGAUAAGUUUACUCCUCCAUCUCAAUAAUAAAAAUUAAGCUGUAAUCAACCUUCUAGGUUUCUCUUGUCGUAAAAUGGUAUUCAAAAAGGGGGAUCUGUGGUGUGUGUGGAAACACAUACUCCUUAAUUUACCUGUUGUUGGAAGCUGGAGAAAUGAUUGUCGGGCAACCGUUUAUCUUUUAUUGUAUUUUAUUUGGUUGAGGGAUUUUUUUAUAAACAGUUUUACUUGUGUCAUAUUUUAAACUUACUAACUGCCAUCACCUGCUGGGGGUCCUUUGUUAAGUCAUUUUCAGUGACUAAUAGGGAUAAUCCAGGUAACUUUGAAGAGAUGAGCAGUGAGUGACCAGGAAGUUUUUCUGCCUUUAACUUUGACAGUUCUUAAUUAUGAUCAUUGAAAACCAGCUUUCUCAUAAAUUUCUCUUUUUGAGAAAAAGAAAGCAUUUGUACUAAGCUCCUCUGUAAGACGACAUCUUAAAUCUUAAGUGUUGUUACCAUGGCUGGUGAGAGAAGAAAACAUUUUGUUUUUAUUAAAUGGAGCAUUAUUUACAAAAAGCCAUUGUUGACAAUUAGAUCCCACAUCGUAUAAAUAUCUAUUAACCAUUCUAAAUAAAGAGAACUCCAGUGUUGCUAUGUGCAAGAUCCUCUCUUGAGAGCUUUUUUGCAUAGCAAUUAAAGGUGUGCUAUUUGUCAGUAGCCAUUUUUUUGCAGUGAUUUGAAGACCAAAGUUGUUUAACAGCUGUGUUACCGUUAAAGGUUUUUUUUUUUAUAUGUAUUAAAUCAAUUUAUCACUGUUUGAAGCUUUGAAUAUCUGCAAUCUUUGCCAAGAUACUUUUUUAUUUAAAAAAACAUAACUUUGUAAAUAUUACCCUGUAAUAUUAUAUAUACUUAAUAAAACAUUUUAAGCUA